rnacentral:rRNA from 1 species
ACACUUAUUUUAACGGCCGCGGUAUUCUGACCGUGCAAAGGUAGCGUAAUCACUUGUCUUUUAAAUGAAGGCUUGUAUGAAUGGCAAGACGAGGGCUUAACUGUCUCCUUUUUUGAAUCAAUGAAAUUGACUUACCCGUGCAGAGGCGGGUGUAAAAACAUAAGACGAGAAGACCCUAUGGAGCUUUAGACCUAGGACAGUACAAAAUGUGAAGCAUUGUUUAAACAAUAACCCUUAGUUCUAUAAAAGUAGAGUCUCUGUCCUCCUGUCUUUGGUUGGGGCGACCACGGGGAAAAAUGAAACCCCCACGAGGAAUAGGAAGCCUUCCUUAAAAACCGAGCUACUGCUCUAACUUACAGAAGAUCUGACCUGAUGAUCCGGCAUUGCCGAUCAACGGAACCAGUUACCCUAGGGAUAACAGCGCAAUCCUCUCCCAGAGUCCCUAUCGACAAGAGGGUUUACGACCUCGAUGUUGGAUCAGGACUUCCUAUUGGUGUAGCCGCUAUUA